UCAAGCAACUAAGCGCAUACGGUGGAUGCCUUGGCAGUCAGAGGCGAUGAAAGACGUGGAAGCCUGCGAUAAGGCUCGGGGAGCUGGCAAACAAGCUGUGAUCCGGGCAUCUCUGAAUGGGGAAACCCACCGGUCUUCGGACCGGUACCGUACGGUGAAUACAUAGCCGUACGGGGCGAACUCGGGGAACUGAAACAUCUAAGUACCCGAAGGAAAAGAAAUCAACCGAGAUUCCCUCAGUAGCGGCGAGCGAACGGGGACCAGCCCUUAAGCUGGACAACUGGUAGGAGAAGGCCCUGGAAAGAGCCGCCAUAGUGGGUGAUAGCCCCGUAUCCGAAACCUGAGUCCAGUGAAAUCGAGUAGGACGGGACACGAGACAUCCUGUCUGAACAUGGGGGGACCAUCCUCCAAGGCUAAAUACUCCUGACUGACCGAUAGUGAACCAGUACCGUGAGGGAAAGGCGAAAAGAACCCCUGUGAGGGGAGUGAAAUAGAUCCUGAAACCGUAUGCGUACAAGCAGUCGGAGCGGACUUGUUCCGUGACGGCGUACCUUUUGUAUAAUGGGUCAGCGACUUAUGUUCAGUGGCGAGGUUAACCGUUUAGGGGAGCCGUAGGGAAACCGAGUCUGAAUAGGGCGAUUUAGUCGCUGGGCAUAGACCCGAAACCGGGCGAUCUAUCCAUGAGCAGGUUGAAGGUUGAGUAACAUCAACUGGAGGACCGAACCCACUGUCGUUGAAAAGCCAGGGGAUGACUUGUGGAUCGGAGUGAAAGGCUAAUCAAGCCCGGAGAUAGCUGGUUCUCCCCGAAAGCUAUUUAGGUAGCGCCUCGGACGAAUACCACAGGGGGUAGAGCACUGUUUCGGCUAGGGGGUCAUCCCGACUUACCAACCCGAUGCAAACUCCGAAUACCUGUGAGUACUAUCCGGGAGACACACGGCGGGUGCUAACGUCCGUCGUGAAGAGGGAAACAACCCAGACCGCCAGCUAAGGUCCCCAAAUACCAGUUAAGUGGGAAACGAUGUGGGAAGGCUCAGACAGCUAGGAGGUUGGCUUAGAAGCAGCCAUCCUUUAAAGAAAGCGUAAUAGCUCACUAGUCGAGUCGGCCUGCGCGGAAGAUGUAACGGGGCUCAAACUGGUUACCGAAGCUGCGGCUGUGCACGCAAGUGCACGGGGUAGGGGAGCGUUCUGUAAGCCUGCGAAGGUGUGUCGAGAGGCAUGCUGGAGGUAUCAGAAGUGCGAAUGCUGACAUGAGUAACGACAAUGGGGGUGAAAAACCCCCACGCCGGAAGACCAAGGUUUCCUGCGCAACGCUAAUCGGCGCAGGGUGAGUCGGCCCCUAAGGUGAGACCGAAAGGUGUAAUCGAUGGGAAACGGGUUAAUAUUCCCGUACCUUGGAUCACUGCGAUGGAGAGACGGAGAAGGCUAGGUGAGCCGGGCGACGGUUGUCCCGGUUUAAGCGAGUAGGGAGUGGACUUAGGCAAAUCCGGGUCCACAAUCCCGAGACGCGACGACGACUGCCCUUUUAGGGCGGGAAGUCAUUGAUGCCCUGCUUCCAGGAAAAUCUUCUAAGCUUCAGGUGAUUCGAGACCGUACCCCAAACCGACACAGGUGGUCAGGUAGAGAAUACCAAGGCGCUUGAGAGAACUCGGGUAAAGGAACUAGGCAAAAUGGUGCCGUAACUUCGGGAGAAGGCACGCCGGUGGUAUGUGACGCCCUUCGCGGGUUGAGCAGAAGCCGGUCGAAGAUACCAGGCCCCUGCGACUGUUUAUUAAAAACACAGCACUGUGCUAACACGAAAGUGGACGUAUACGGUGUGACGCCUGCCCGGUGCUGGAAGAUUAAAUGAUGGGGUGCAAGCUCUUGAUUGAAGUCCCAGUAAACGGCGGCCGUAACUAUAACGGUCCUAAGGUAGCGAAAUUCCUUGUCGGGUAAGUUCCGACCUGCACGAAUGGCGUAACGAUGGGGGCGCUGUCUCUACCCGAGACUCAGUGAAAUUGAAAUCGCCGUGAAGAUGCGGUGUAUCCGCGGCUAGACGGAAAGACCCCGUGAACCUUUACUAUAGCUUCACAGUGAACUUUGAGCAUGUUUGUGUAGGAUAGCUGGGAGGCUUUGAAACCAGGACGCCAGUUCUGGUGGAGCCAACCUUGAAAUACCAGCCUGACCUGUUUGAGGUUCUAACUUGGUCCCCUGAUCGGGGAUGAGGACACUGUGUGGUGGGUAGUUUGACUGGGGCGGUCUCCUCCCAAAGCGUAACGGAGGAGCACAAAGGUGGGCUAAGCACGGUCGGACAUCGUGCGGUUAGUGUAAUGGCACAAGCCCGCUUAACUGCGAGACAGACACGUCGAGCAGGUACGAAAGUAGGUCAUAGUGAUCC
rnacentral:rRNA from 1 species